rnacentral:lncRNA from 1 species
GGAACACACACCAAAAGGAAAAGCCAGAAGGCAUAGAAAGAAAUAUGAUAAUUGCUGGGUCACACCCCAAAUGCCUACAAAACUUAAGGUAGGGCCAGGUCAGAAAGAAGCCCAGACUUCCAUUUGGUCUCCCACAUGGGUUGUAGGAAUCCAACUGAUUAAAACAUCAGCUGCUGCCUCCUAGUAAAGAAUGGGAACGAGGCUGUGAUAGACACCAAGGCAAGAGCCCAGUCAGCACCCUACUCAGAGGCACCAGUAGGGAGUUUCCUACAUGGGAUCAGAUCCAUAAACAAUAAACAUAAAUCAGUUGUCUGACUGCUAAAUAUAAAUCUUAGCAUUUUUCAACUGUGUGAGGAAGGACUCUGUGUAUGAUACACUGUCUUGUUAUUUUUCUCUUAGCUGGUGGUCAACUCAAAGAAAUGGAACCAGGCAAUGAGACACGACUUUCAACAUUUCUUCUCCUGGGAUUCUCAGAGGACCCAGCACUGCAGCCCCUCAUAUGUGGGCUCUUCCUCUCCAUGUACCUGGUCACUGUGGCUGGGAACCUGCUCAUCAUCCUGGCCAUCCUCUCAGACCCCCACCUCCACACGCCCAUGUACUUCUUCCUCUCCAACCUGUCCUUGGUGGACGUCUGCUUCUCCUCCACCACCGUCCCCAAGAUGCUGGUGAACAUCCAGACAUAGAGCAAAGCCAUCAGCUAUGCAGGCUGCGUCACCCAGAUGAUUUUUGUUAGAGUUGGACAACUUUCUCCUGGCCAUGAAUGCCUAUGUCUGGUUUGUGGCCAUCUGUCACCCCUGCACUACACGGUCAUCAUGAACCCCCGGCUCUGAGUGCAGCUGGUCCUGGUGUGCUGGGUCAUCAGUGUUCUGAGUUCCUUGUUGCAAAGCCUAAUGGUGCUGCAGCUGUCUUGCACACACGUGGAAAUCUCCCACUUCUUCUUUCUCAGGGCUGUGCCUGGAGCUCCAGCCCUCCGUGCACCUGCUCACCCUGGCCCGCUGGGGCCCACAGACGCUGCUGCUGCGCUUGGAGCACCAGUUUGCCAGUGGGGAGGACUCGGGCCGCAACUUGAGCUCCCCUGUGACCUUGGAUUUACAGAACCUGUUCUCCACCUUCACCAUCACCUGCCUGCAGGAGACCACGCUGGUGGCCAACCAGCCCCGGGCCAGCGCCUCCAGGCUCCAGUGGACCCCAGACACCGGCCCUGUACCGAACCCCACAGUGCCCAAACUGGACGCAGCUGCCAUCACGCUGCAGCCCAUGGAGACCCGCACAUUUGUGGCCUCGGUCCUGUGGAAAGAGGAUGCCUGGACCCAGGGGGAGACCACUUCCAAACUUGAACUCUCUGAUCCAGGGUGGUUCAGACUCUCCUCUUCUCCCCCUGCUGCUGCUGCCACCACCGCCCAUGAAAACCAUUAAAAUGGUGCUGCUAAGGCUCAGGUUGCCAAGGGACUGGUUCUGGUAUCUUUUGGAGGGAGAUAGAGUGCAUGGUCUAGAAAGAUCACCUAAGCCUAGCUUAGAUGUAUUUUUAAAGAUUUGUUAAUUCAUUUGAAAGGCAGAGUGACAGAGAAUGAGAGAGAGAGAGAGAGAGAGAGA